UACGUAGGUGGCGAGCGUUGUCCGGAUUUACUGGGCGUAAAGAGCGCGCAGGCGGUCGUACAAGUCGCGUGUGAAAGCCCCCGGCUCAACUGGGGAGGGUCACGCGAUACUGUUCGACUCGAAGGCAGGAGAGGGAAGCGGAAUUCCCGGUGUAGUGGUGAAAUGCGUAGAUAUCGGGAGGAACACCAGUGGCGAAGGCGGCAUCCUGGACCGGCAUUGACGCUGAGGAGCGAAAGCUAGGGGAGCAAACGGG
rnacentral:rRNA from 1 species